AGCGCCACCUUCGAAAUGUCCUAUUUGACUUGAACUCAGCUGAUCGUUACUGAACUACCUGGAUCUCAAGCCUUGCCUACUUUUUACACGACUGUGGCUAAUAAGAUUUAAAGAAAAGAGAAAAUGAGCUCUGGAAAAGCACUGCAGUCGGUGUCUCCUCACUACAACCAACAGCCACCGACACCAAGCCUGGCGAAAAGAAAGACAAUUCAAGAGAAGUCUGCAAUAAGGAGUCCAACAGACAAUGUGAUGUCCCCAUGUACAAGACAGCUCAUGAAGAAAGCUAUCAAGGACAUACCGUCAUCUCCCAGACCCAGACGGGAAGCAAAAGAGAACACUGCAAAUAAAUGAAUUACCUUUUUAUGUACAGUGUGAUGUCUUUACGGUAUUCCUCUCUCUGCUAAGAUGGGCAGAUAAAUUAAUCAUUGACAUUUUCCUGACAUUCUACCGUCUUUUUAAUAUGUUCUUACUAACCAAGCUGCUCACACUUUAUUGAUCCAUUAUGCAAUGUGGUGUAUAUGGGGGGGGGUUAUAUUCUUCAUUUAUAUGGGGGUUAUAUUCUUCAUUAAUAUGGGGCUGUUAUAUUCUUCAUUAAUAUGGUGUAUACGGGGGGGUUAUUCGUCAUUAAUAUGGUGUAUACGGGGGGUUAUUCUUCAUUAAUAUGGUGUAUACGGGGGGUUGUUCUUCAUUAAUAUGGGGGGGGUUAUAUUCUUCAUUUAUAUGGGGGGGGUUAUAUUCUUCAUUAAUAUGGUGUAUACGGGGGGUUAUAUUCUUCAUUAAUAUGGUGUAUACGGGGGGUUAUAUUCUUCAUUAAUAUGGUGUAUACGGGGGGUUAUAUUCUUCAUUAAUAUGGUGUAUACGGGGGGGGUUGUUAUAUUCUUCAUUAAUAUGGUGUAUGCGGGGGGGGGUGUUAUAUUCUUCAUCUAAAUCGCACUGUUUGUGUUAAUCAUUGGUUUUCUUGUGAAUGUAUAAUGCUAUUUGCACUUUAGAGGACAUGUGCUGUUCAUUGUACACUGCUUUAAGUGGUGGGGGUGUUAUAAUCUCAAACAAGUGUUCUGUAUAUAUGCCCUUUGCACAGGUAGACUUCCAUGGUUUAAAAAAAGUAGACUACUUUAUAUUCUGUUUGUACAUUGGCUUUAUGUUGCUCAGUUUUCAAUAUGUAACUAGCAAAAAAGGACUUGGCUCACUGCUUUCAAUAAACAUAUUUGAAAUGGAA